rnacentral:misc_RNA from 1 species
AAAGUCGUAACAAGGUUUCCGUAGGUGAACCUGCGGAAGGAUCAUUAAAAGAUAUGGCAUAUUCCAUGUGGAUAUACCCAAUCAACCCAUUCUGAGUACCUUACCUGUUGCUUUCACACAGUGUCUUGCAAUUUAUUUGUAUAGACAUCCAAACCAACAUUAAUUUAUUGGCUUUGGACAUGUGUGAAAGGUAUACAUUAAACUCUUGCAUUACCAUGUAUUCUGUCUGAUAAUGUUUAAUACAAAAUAUUAAAACUUUCAACAACGGAUCUCUUGGUUCUC